GUCGCUUAAUCUAUCUUCCUACUCUAAACUCUAGCUAUAAUCUUGUUCCUAUGGCAAUAGCAGUCGAACUCCACUCCUCCUCAACAUUUCGUCGAGUAAUGCAUACAGGACAUAAAGCAAACAGAUGGAGAUCAUCUUCUCUUCGACGCUGGAGAAGAGAUGUUGGAGGAAAGGUUUUAGCUUUUUGCAAAUUGUUUUAAUCUCCUUCAGCUUGUACCUACGAGCUUAACAGAAGGCAAAACUACAAGUUUCUGGAGAGGAGAAUACUAAAAGAAGACACGGGAAAAGCAUGUUAGUAUCCUUUCACUGGAAAAUGCUCAAAAAGGACAGUUUCUGUUUUACUUUUGGGGCAUUUUGUCACCUUAGGCUACUAAUGUUUUCAACAUGGUUGCAUUAGUCUUUCAAGUCUGCUGUAUGUGGGUUACUAGUUUUUCUGUUGUAUGGGUGAAUUCCACCGGAAGUCACCAAAUUUGCAUCGGCUUAUCACGUGGAAGCAGCAUAUAAUCCCUGGGCCAGCCGAGGAAGUAUGCAUCUUUGUUUUUGUGUGAAAAUGGCUCUCCCUCCCCUGGGCUUUAGCCUUUCAUUGUUAGUGGUUCAUGGUUCCUUAAGCUUUUAACUAUUGUAUUAGUGAUUACAAUUUUCACAGACUAAUU